UUAAGUCAUUUUAUCGACAAUAGUGCGUUAGGUAAACUUUUUUGUCGUGGGUGAGCCAAUCAACACUGAAGCAUGGCAGUGGUACUACAGUGUGGUCGGAGACAAGAGUUGUCCUGUGGUGGAUACGUGGCGGCAAACAGUCAUUAACAGAUGCAAUGGAGGAGAAGACUGGAAGGCACAGCAGCUUGGACUCUGCCAGGUAGAGCGAAGGAGCAACUUUAUUUGAAGCCGAUCACUCGUUUGCUGGACUUGUAAGUGUUUUACUGAAUUGUGUAAUUUUUUUUAACUUAGGUUUUUUUUACUUAGUAUUUUUUUAGCUUUAUUGCUCAUUUUUUUAAUUUGUUAUAUAGUGCAAUCAUUG